AACGCGAAGAACCUUACCCAGGCUCGAAAUGUAGAGGACGAUAUCAGAGAUGAUAUUUUCCGCAAGGACUUUUAUAUAGGUGCUGCAUGGCUGUCGUCAGCUCGUGCCGUGAGGUGUUGGGUUAAGUCCCGCAACGAGCGCAACCCUUAUCAUUAGUUGCCAACACGCGAGGUGGGGACUCUAAUGAGACUGCCUGGGUUAACCAGGAGGAAGGUGAGGAUGAUGUCAAGUCCGCAUGGCCUUUAUGUCUGGGGCUACACACGUGCUACAAUGGUCGGUACAGAAGGCAGCAAGACCGCAAGGUGGAGCAAAUCCGUAAAGCCGAUCACAGUUCAGAUUGUAGUCUGCAACUCGACUACAUGAAGUUGGAAUUGCUAGUAAUGACGUGUCAGCAACAACGUCGUGAAUACGUUCCCGGGCCUUGUACACACCGACGCAC
rnacentral:rRNA from 1 species